rnacentral:snRNA from 1 species
GUGCUCAAUCCAGCAACCUAUACACUAAAAUCGGGAUGACACAGAAAGGAUUAGCAUGGCCCAUGCAGAGAUAACAAAUUUAUGAAGCAUUCCACAUUAAA